CAAUUGCACAGCACAAAUCCGGCACCAUUUUCAUCAAAAUACUUCUGGAUUGACCGAAAAUCAAGGUUACAGGAUAGAUUUUUGCAAAAGAUCAAGGUAGUUUACUUUGAUUUGUUUUCUGUUGAUUUUCUCAUCAAUUUUAAGUCUUUUUUGCCCAAAAAUUCAUACUAACCACGUUUUGAUACCAUUUGUUGUGAAAUUGAUCUUCAAUUUGUGAAAUCCUAGCUAAGUUUGUAGUAUCUUAUCCCAAAUCAACAUAUAGAACCAAUAGGCUCCAACCUAUAACUAUGUUUUACUUUGAUUGUUCAAUUUAAUGUAUCCACAAAGAGCACAAAAUGGUUGCUGCAAUAUGUAACCAAGAAGAGAGGAAGACAUGUUUCGUUUAUCUCCACCACGAAGAGAGAAAACACAAAGAAUCAAUUGCCUCUUUUUCACUAUUGCACACACACACACACAACUUCUUCCAACAAUAUGGCCAUAUAUAGAUCUAGGAUAUAUUUUUUAUAAUAAUUUCACUUAUUGGUCGAGGCCUAUGAAACUUAAUUCAAACCGUUUAACACCAUCGCUCGGGAUUUUUAGGAUAUCAAUACCCAACAAAAAUGAUUCCAAAAACCUAUUUCGAAAAGUAAAGAACAUAGCUUGAAAUCUUGUAACUGGAUCAAGGUUUUGUGCCCCCAAAGAAAAUUUCAUGUCUAUGCUAUUAUUGAUGAUACUUUAAAGCCUACCCGAGCUCACAUUAAGCGGUUUCUUAGUCAUGAAUCUACCAUCCACAUAGGAUAAGAUCUAGUAAGUAGUAUAUAAUAGAUGAACAACCCUAAGAUAAUUUUUUUAAGUGCAAUGCCCUUUAACUCAAGAUUUCUAAACUAAGUGAUUCAACGCAUAAUAGUUGAACUUGAAACACUUGAACCAUCAUAGUCUCUCUCCUCUACCAAACCACUUUCAUGGAAGUACUUCUUAUUGAACUCAUUGCUCAAGUGUUAAACACUAAGUCAACCACCUUGAUUUAGUCAUACUUAUACUUUCAUAUUUUCAUAUCGGAUACACAAGAAAAUCUUGAGCCAUCAUCAGUUCUAUUGUACGCGGUCCUAAGAAAUUUUAUUUACUGCAAAAAGUAUAAAUCAAAAAAAACUAGAUUUUAGUUUGAAUUUUUUAUCAAAUUAAAAUAAAAGAAAAAAGAUGGAUCAAAGUUCUAGGUGUGAAACUGUCCACCCUUGCCUAUAUGUCGCUCUUCUACUGAUCGUCAAGACUUUGAUUUGGUACAAAAUAGAUAUUUACCAUUAAUGACAACAAAAUGGAAGUUUAUGACUGGUACAUAUAAACUAGAGUUGCAAGGUGAUUGGACUAUUCUCUUAUUUGUUGACAUGUUGGCAUCAAAGGCUUGACCAAAUUCAAUAAUCUACAUUGUUUUUCUUCUUAUAGGAGUAUUUAGCUUGAACUUUUCAUGGUAAUUAUCUUCGUCUCAUUGUGUUGAUGUUUGUUAUUGUUCUGGAUAUAUGUGUAAUGGUUUGAGGUAUUAGAUUGUAAACAAUGAGCCUAUGAUCAUGAAGAACAAAGAUGAAGCUAUAUUAUCCAUUGCAUUAUCAGAAUUACGGUAGCAUUGCAUUUAUUUGAUUCUUCUCUUAUGACUUUACUUAAACCUAAUAGAAAAUCAGAUGUAAAAAGGUGAAACCUUCAAGUUUGCCCAAUAGCAUGAAUCUCUAUCUCGAGAGUACAAUGAACUAUGUAAUGGAAAAAAAUCAUCAUGCAGACAAGUAUUCCUAGUUUAUCAAGAUUAUAUGGUAUACUGGAAAAAAGAAAGAGUAUUGUUGAAUGUGGUGAGGUUUAUGGUAAUGUAGUUUAACUUUACAUAUUUCCUCUUGAAGAGAUGCUAGUACCUUCAAUGUUGUAUUAACUUUAGACGUACAGAUAAUCAAAUUUGGGCUAUCUCUUAAAAUUUAGAGGCAAUAAGUUUGGAAACGUAAGUUUGAUAGGAAUUAAAAUGUAUCUUUAUGAAAGACACUUAACAGUCCUAAUGCUACUUCUUCAUAAGUAAAAUAUUGGAUGGAUAUUGACUGCACUUAGGUAACAAGAGAUUACAUAUAUUAAGGAUAUUUUUCUAAGUGGAGACAAAGAAUUAGGAGAUUUUUUUUCCUUGGAGUUAGACAAUAGAUGUGCUUGGUGAAUUAGUUGAGCUAUUGAGUAAUUUCCCUUAUAGCUUCUUAUUUAAGUGGGAGAAUUCUAUUUUCAAGUAACUUAAUUUACUUGAACUCUUGUUAUGUGACGAUGAAAACUAUUCCUAAUUAUAUUAACGAGAUCGAAAGGAGAACUUCUUGAUGAUAAUUUCUUCAUGUAGCUCUGUCAUAUCGGAAGAAGAAAAAUUUUGAUGAAAUUAAUGGGAGUAGAGAUGGAGUCUAGAAUAUGCAAGACAUAGUGCAUGUUCUAACUAGACCUAAAAUGUACAAGUUACAGAUCACAUAACAUUGUGCACAUGUAACAACAUAAUGUACACAUGUCAUAGGUCAAAAUGUACAGGUAACAGAUCAUACAGAACUGGUCAUAUAUCAUUGUAUACAUGUUACAGAUUAUUGUGCACAGGUCACAGUUCAUAGGUAACAAGUCAUAGAUCAUAGUUUACAAGUUACAAGUCACUGUACAUAGGUCACAGAUAAAUGUUAUCUAUAAUUUUAUUGUUUUUUUUUUUUUUUUUUUACUCUUUUUGUGACUCAGUAAUUGUGUAUUUUCUAUCUAUUGAGACAGCACAUGGAAGUGUGCUUUCACUACACUCGUCAACUAGCAAGAUCAAGCCAGCACAUCAAUUUUAGAGCCACGACAAUGGAAUUUUUCAAUUUUCAUCAUAGCAAUUCAGGAUUGGGAAGGUCGAUAUCGUCAAUUCAAAGGUAGGACGAUUAAGGAACAAUAUCAUGUUAUCCACCACAAAUUGUCACUUCGAAAUAGUUCAAACCUACUUUGAGAUGGUCACCAAACUCAAAUUGCUACUUUUACUAUCACCUCAAUUUGUGAUCGUUGCCUUCGAUGAGACAAAUUCCAAUGAUUUUUAGUGAGCCAUAAUUUGGCAGUGGGAAUCGAGAAUAUAUGCUCCGGAGAGUUCUAUGUAGCUUUUCUCUUUGUUGACUUUCACAAAUUGUUAAAUUGAAGAGUCCUGUUUGGAAUGGAAACAUGUUGUAAUUGAGUGCUUGAUUUCAAUACAUU
rnacentral:lncRNA from 1 species